UUGCCUUAAUUGAAGUUGAUGUCAUGGUUGAUUAUAGUUUUUUUUUAUAAUGAGAGUCGUAGCACCAAUAUACUUUAAACUAAUUAUUAUAGUAGCCAAUAAAAAUAGUGACAAUGAUCUUAGAACUUGUAUUGUUAUUUUUUGAAAACAUGAAUAUAUACAAGGCACCAAGAAGUACUAGGUGGAAGACAAAAACUUGUGUUGUUAUUUUGAAAUAAAAAUGUUAUAGAAAUAAAACCACAAAGGUUGAAAAGAUGAGAUGAAUAUGUGGAUGAAGAUUUCGGAAUGACAAUGGUGGUGAUUUUUGAUGGCUCAAAAAUUGUAGAAGUCAAAUAUAUACUAUAGAAAAGAUAAGCCUAAUAUAAGAUUAUGUUUUUAUAUGUAAUAUAGUUGGUGUGGCCAAUACGUCAAUGCUAAAAGAUUUUUGG
rnacentral:lncRNA from 1 species